GACGAACGCUGGCGGCGUGCUUAACACAUGCAAGUCGAACGAAGUGGCGAACGGGUGAGUAAUACGUGGGUAACCUGCCCUCCUUUUUGGGAUAAGCCUUGGAAACGGGGUCUAAUACCGAAUAAAGGGGGAUGGGCUCGCGGCCUAUCAGCUUGUUGGUGGGGUGAUGGCCUACCAAGGCGGUGACGGGUAGCCGGCCUGACGGGGUGACCGGCCACAUUGGGCGUGGGAUACGGCCCAGACACCUACGUGAGGCAGCAGUUGGGGAUAUGGCAAAAUGGGCGAAAGCCUGAUGCAGCGACGCAGCGUGGGGGAUGAAGGCUUUCGGGUUGUAAACCUCGUUCGCGAUAGAACGGGUAGGUGGAGAAGAAGCGCCGGCUAACUACGUGCCAGCAGCCGCGGUAAUUC
rnacentral:rRNA from 1 species